rnacentral:rRNA from 1 species
AGAGUUUGAUCCUGGCUCAGGAUGAACGCUAGCGACAGGCCUAACACAUGCAAGUCGAGGGGUAACAGGGGCUUCGGCCCGCUGACGACCGGCGCACGGGUGAGUAACGCGUAUGCAACCUGCCUGUAACAGCGGGAUAGCUCCCUGAAAGGGGAAUUAACACCGCAUAAGACCACGCUCUCGCAUGGGGACGGGGUAAAAUAUUUAUAGGUUACAGAUGGGCAUGCGUGACAUUAGUUAGUUGGUGAGGUAACGGCUCACCAAGACUGCGAUGUCUAGGGGUUCUGAGAGGAAGGUCCCCCACACUGGAACUGAGACACGGUCCAGACUCCUACGGGAGGCAGCAGUGAGGAAUAUUGGUCAAUGGACGCAAGUCUGAACCAGCCAUGUCGCGUGCAGGAUGACUGCCCUAUGGGUUGUAAACUGCUUUUAUAUUGGAAGAAUUGCGCUUACGAGUUAAGCGUUUGACGGUACAUUAUGAAUAAGGAUCGGCUAACUCCGUGCCAGCAGCCGCGGUAAUACGGAGGAUCCGAGCGUUAUCCGGAUUUAUUGGGUUUAAAGGGUGCUCAGGCGGGCCAUUAAGUCGGCGGUGAAAUUUUGCGGCUCAACCGUAAAAGUGCCUUCGAUACUGGUGGUCUUGAGUGUGGAUGAGGUAGGCGGAAUUUGUGGUGUAGCGGUGAAAUGCAUAGAUAUCACGAGGAACUCCGAUUGCUAAGGCAGCUUACUAAGCCAUAACUGACGCUCAAGCACGAAGGCGUGGGGAUCAAACAGGAUUAGAUACCCUGGUAGUCCACGCAGUAAACGAUGAUUACUGGCUGUUUGCGAUAUAUUGUAAGCGGCUGAGCGAAAGCGUUAAGUAAUCCACCUGGGGAGUACGUUCGCAAGAAUGAAACUCAAAGGAAUUGACGGGGGCCCGCACAAGCGGAGGAACAUGUGGUUUAAUUCGAUGAUACGCGAGGAACCUUACCCGGGUUUGAAUUGCUGAAUUUGCAUUUGGAGACAUUUGCUUCCCUUUUGGGUUUCAGUGAAGGUGCUGCAUGGUUGUCGUCAGCUCGUGCCGUGAGGUGUCGGCUUAAGUGCCAUAACGAGCGCAACCCUUGCCGUUAGUUGCCAUCGGGUCAUGCCGGGCACUCUAUUGGGACUGCCAUCGUAAGAUGUGAGGAAGGUGGGGAGGACGUCAAAUCAGCACGGCCCUUAUGUCCGGGGCGACACACGUGUUACAAUGGGGGGUACAGCGGGUUGCUACCUGGUGACAGGGUGCUAAUCUUUAAAACCUCUCUCAGUUCGGAUCGGAGUCUGAAACUCGACUCCGUGAAGCUGGAUUCGCUAGUAAUCGCGCAUCAGCCACGGCGCGGUGAAUACGUUCCCGGGCCUCGUACACACCGCCCGUCA